UUUCAGGUGAGUGUCGGUGCCGCAGCCGGGGCCGGCGGAGGGAGGCCCGUCGGGGCUCCGGGCCGGGGGGGCUCCUGUCGCCCCCUCGGAAAGAGCCCGCGGGUCUCCGGCCCUGCAAACCGCUCGGCCCCGGUACCGACGUGCCGCUCUCCACCUUGAGCCUCGCCGUUACUAAAACUAGAAGAAUUUUAGUUUGAAGAACUGCUGAUGAGUAGAGGAUUAAUGUAAAACAUGUUGGUUAUGAUGCCCUGAAAGAGUCUUGGAAAAGGCAUUGUUAGGCAUCAUUGCUUCCUGCCCCCUGGGACCCUACAUGUUCAGUUAGGUCUGACAGGUUAGUGAUGCUGCAGAUGUGGAAGAAGAUGAGUGAAUGUGAAGUUCUGGAAGCAGCUUCAUGAAAAAUUAAGGAUCUUGGCUGCAGAACGAUUCAAGGACAGAAGUCAAACCACAAGCUGUACACCUUAAACACUGCUCAAGACAACGAUAAUCUAGACAUUUGUGCACCUUAAUGAAAGUGCUUUAUAUUUUUAAAAGAUACUCUGUAAUCAGCUGAAGAUUUAACUUUAUUGCUACUCCCCUGCAGAAUUAUCUGCCUGAUGAUAAGGACAACAAGCAACCCGAUCAGAAAGCCCUCAUAACUGUGCAGUUUUUUUACACUUGAAUAUUUAAACAUUACUGAACGUGAGCCACAGUGGGAUGCAGAAGAUUACACGUGCUGAUGGGAAGGUGUAGAAGAGACACGCCUAAAGACAGGCCUUCACUGAGUCUUUACGCCAGCACCAGCCAGUGUGGCACUGACAGCUUGGUCUAGACUCUUUCCUCCUUAGGCUGCUCAUUUCAACCUCCACACUGUCCCUUCCUUUACGUGAGUAAGGAAAAAUGGCAUGCUUUAAAACUAGCACAGCAAAGACUAAGCGGUUUAAAACUGAGUAACGGUGAAUGUUGUUCUCUGGGUAAGACCAGCCCUGCUCUGCUGACCGAUGGCAGCGGUAAUGCGCAGGCACUGCUCUUGUUCCACACCACCUUUUUUCAGCUGAGAAGCACAAGGAAUGUGCAAAAACAAAACUGGAGAAUAUUAUUGGACUCGGUGACAUUCAAGAGUAGGAUCUACUGUCUGUUUUUAAAACUCCAAAUUUAUGGGCUUUAUUUCCCAUCCAGAAUAUUUCAUAUGAAGAACCAUCUUUUAAUAAAUAUAUGAAGAAAAGGAUACUCAUAGGACACACCUCCUUUGACUUCAGAAAGCUGAUGGUUGGACACAGACUGGUGAACACAGUUAAGGACAUGCAAUUCUCUUAAUUGGCAGUGUGAACCUCUCAGCUACAUAGAGGAAAGUAUCAAAAGCACACAUGACAGCACUGCUUUUCUGCCCUUCUAAAGGACAGAUGACUGAGCUGGACAGACCUGCCUUAGGAGUGAUGCCUCCAGUCCUCACCGUGAUGACCUGCUAUAUUUUCUUAACCAUGCUUGUGCUUGAAGAAGGUGGCAUGAGUUUCAUGUCUCUCCCCAGUAAUGACAUCGCUCUGUUUGGUGAAGUACUGAUUGUGGCAUGUCCUGUGACAGUGACAUGUCCUUCUACACUUCUCAUUGAGAGACCUGACAUGGAUUCAAGAACAAGAGGUGCAUUGCUAUGCCUUCAUCCAAGAUCUGGGGAAGCACAAGGGCGUCUGUGUGGUCCCAGUGGGCUUUGCAUACCUGGGCUAUGUGAGACCCCUCCAGCUCCAGUACUCUGAAACAAACUGUAUCUGAAAGUCACUGCUUAUUUACCAUACAUUUGUGACUAUUUCUCAAGAAGUAAAUUCAUGACUAACAUUUAAAAUCCAUGACUAACCACAGGGAAGUGACUGGGGCCUUGGCCUGUUUCCCCUUAGAAAGAUUUAAUCUGGACACCUCCACUAAUGUCAGGUCCUUCAACCUCUUUCUCCCAUACACUUCUGCUGCCUUUCUCUUUCUGAAAUUUUCACCAUCUGCCCCACAUUGUCUCUUGCACAAACACACUCUGUUCCCCUGUCCAAUUCAUUUCUCCUCAGAGUGCCACUUGUUACACAAGGCACCCUGCAAGACAACUGCUCUCGUAACAGUAAUCUGAAUUGCCAAGACAGCUGAGAAGAAGUUAUGCAAGGGGGCAAAAUCCGUUUUCCAUCAUACUGCACCAUUAUAAAGAGCCUCGUAUAGAAAGAACAAAGGAGUUUCUUGCCUCAGUUUGACCUUAGCCAGGAUCCACGCCUCUCUCAACUUUUCUACCCUUUGGUAAGAGAUUAUAUUCUUUAAGAUAAGUGAUGAAAGGUAGCAACAACCAGGCCUUCUUACAGCUACAGCUGGGGAGUUUGGCAUACGUGAGGGUCCAGGGAGCAUGCAUUCCCACCACACAGAAGUUGUGGGUGACCUGCAGCAGCAGUAGCUUUGUUGCCAUUCCCAAUAGCCUGCAACACAGUACUUCAGCAUGCUGCCUUCUCCAUGACCACAGACUGCAGUGGUGGGGCCUUCAUUGUGCUGCACAACCCUACAGGCCACAUGCAACUCUCUGGCAGAACACAGACACUCUGAGUGGUCCCAGGACACAGGCGAGUGAAGCCAGAUGUUCUGCAAAUACCUCCUGCACUAUAAAUGCGUGAAGGACGGGGCAGUGUUGAGGGAUCAAAUACAUCAGUCUUCCUGCUUAACACAUGACCCUAGACAUGUCUGAAUUCCAACAAAAUGGCCCUUCAACAUCUCUGCAACUAAUGGCAAAACUCUGGGAUCAGUGGUAUCAGGAAUGUGUUUCCAAGCCCUCAUGAAACAAAAACUUAUGCAGAUGGAGCUUACUGAAGUAAAGAGAAGACAUGCAUAGACGUGCAAGUCUUGCAGGGACCAGAUCUCCAAAGUAUACUCGUCAGCUCUAACUCACUAGAGUGUCCAGCUUGGUUAGUAGUGCAUUAAAGUCUCACUUCAGAUUAGAACGAAAAAUUUUCUUUUUAUUAGAAGAGACCUAAAAAAAAAAGCAUCAACAGAGCCACACUAUCUUUUUCAUUUUAAGCAUGUAAAGAGAUGACAUAAGGAACUGUUGCUAACUCAUGAAGCCUCAUUUUACUUGCUGUAUUUUUGUAUUUCUGUGUUAUCUCUUUCCACUACUGCUGGAUGUACUUUCAUUUUAGAACAUCUUUCUUAUUCCAAUUACAUAACUAAUUUUAUUAUUUUAACCUACUGUGUUAAGCUGAGAAGAUGAUAACUAAUACAGAUGUUAAGUAUUUCAGAGAGUUAACCAAGCACGUAUCUAAUUAAAAUAGACUAGAUUUCUUUCCUGUCUUACACUUUUUUCCUGACUGCUGCGUGACUCCUUAGCAAAAGUUAGGAAGAAACAGGCAGAAGAGUGACUAACUGGAAACACUUCUGAUAUAAAGGUUAAGCUUAUGCAAAUAAAUAAAGCAAAGUCCUCUUAAUUGGCACAAGGAGGAAAUAAUAUGCCAAAAUGCAAUCUUCUCAAGACUACCUGAAGCUAAGAAUCAAAGUAGGAAAACAAUGUGAUUACAGAUGGCUCUUUAAUUUAGCAUGGCACAACAAAAUUGCACUGAUAAAGAAAAAAGCAAAAAAAUGUUUCAUAUGACUUUUUUUUUAAAGCUGAUAGCCUUUCAUGACAUUUCAUGUAAAUAUAAAUUAGUCCCGUCCCCCCACCCCACCCCCACCCCCCGAUUUUACUUGUUUAUUUGAAGUUUCUUCAUGGAUCUCUGUGACUAAAAUAAUCACAGGCUAUAUACCACUGAGAAUAAAAAAAAAAGCUGGAAACCAGUACACCUACCCUUACAGACACUACUGUGUUAUCAUGUCAAAUUUACUCCAGAAAUUAUCUAAUACUGAGAAAGUUUUCUAUUCUGUCCCUUUUCUAUUCCUAAGUGGGUGCCCACUAUUACAUGUGGGCAUGCAAGAAUUAGCUCGUGGUUGAAAAAACAUAUGGGCUAGCAGCCAGAAAACACAUGGGCCAAAACAUGACACCACAGAUUUAACCAUCUUUCAAGGUCAUUUUAUUUGAGUGGCUAAAAAGACUACCUCAUUUCACAAAAGGCAUCAAUAGCAAUAAUCAUGGGAGACUUCUUAUUCUAUAUGGGACAGUAAAAUCAUUAUUUUUCAGCCCAGAACCCAGAAAACACUUUCUUCAGUCAGCCCUCAAUCUGUCAUAGUUCCUUACAAAGAGAUUAAUUAAUUUUGUCUGUAUUUUAUAUUGGUGAGGUUUUCCAGCUGAAACAGAAGUUAAUAUCUCAAGUUGGACAGAAAAGAAAAAGCUGAGGUUUUUUUUCUGAAACAGACAAUAUCUUUAUUACCAAAGGAAUCCUGAACACCGGAGUAAGAUUUGUACCUUCAGCAGUUGUUAAUAAGCAAAGCAAAAUUCCUCUCAUUUAUAGCACUGAAAUUAGGGAGAAAAAAAGAAGAAAGAAAAAUAGAGAUAGGGACAUCAUAACAUGUAAGUAUGCUCUGCUUUGGGAAAGGAAAGUUUUGGGAUUAUUUGCUUUAAGUAGAAUAAAGGAAGGGAUUGAUUUUUUCCCAGGGACACUGUAGAAAUACUGAAACUGAACAGACUGGCUAGAGGGAAAUAAAUAACCCUGACAUCUGUGAGGGAAUAUCCAAGAGGUAACAGAGGGAGUAUAUGAAUGCAAGAACAUCAGAUAAUCGGAAAUCCAAACAACCUUCCUGUUAACACACACUCAUCUCCCUCCUCCACUCAGCAAGGUCCUGAACACCCACCGAUUCCCAGAAACCUCUCGUACUUCAUGAUCACACACCAUACAGCCGCUGCUUCCUGCUGCCCCGCCAUCCUUGUAAACACCAGUUGCUGAAUUAAAUUCAGGUCUAGCCUAAUUUACACAUAGCCCUCAUUGACUUCACUAGCACGUUGCUGGCUUGGGCUGAACAGAGGCUAUGUAAUUUAACUAAGUGCAGCAAGCACUGAGAAUAAAACUGUAAUGUGCUCUAAUGAUAUCACAGUUUUCUGUUUUCCAGUGAUUACAUGGCAAUUAAAUAGUGAUACAUGUUUCUUAAAUAAAUGAUUCAUGUUUAUGUUUAUUUAAGAAAAUAGCCAAAGCAAUUAAAAUAUACAAAUCUUAGGAAAAGAAAAAUGGUUGUCUCCAAUCACCCAUGACUACUUUAUACAUUCUUAAAGAAAUAUUUGGAAAGCUAAAAAUAUCUGCUGAAGGCAUAUUAUUUCACUACGGCAGAUUUAAUGCAACUUUUUGCACAGGUAUUAACACACAUUGGUUUUAUACUGUGAGAUUCAAAUGUAUUUAAUGCUAUAUUACCACAACAAAGCUCUGUGGCACAAGAAUAUUUUCUAGUCCAUCACGAUUGAAUUAGCUAAUUGCUGUUGUAUGUCUUGUUUCACUCUUACCAAGCCUUUUCAAUCAAUCCAACUAUGCAUCUUCUGACCAUAAAGCAUGAACGCUACCUUUGUCUCAUUAGCAGGAUCUUGCAAUUCUUACAUACGCAUGUAAGAAUUGCUCAUCAUUAUGAAAUGGUAAUAAAAACCCACGCCAAACCCAGUAACAUAUUCUCCUCCGCUGUGUCUCAGACUCCAAAAUACUUUAUCCCACACAAAACCAAUGUCAGUAUUUCCUGGUGACUGAUUCUUCAUUUCACGUCUUGCCUACCUGGGAAAAUACUGUUCUAAUAGAUGAAUUAAAAGCAAUGCUUUGGCAGCAAUCUAAAAACCUCAUUUAUGCAGUUUUACACUGCUUCUCUGAAGGCAGAAUGUAUGACAUAUACCUUACCAUACUC